AUGCCUGUUAGUUAUACCACAUUGAGAAACUCUGAUUGGGAGUUCAUUGUAUGCAAAUAUCUGAAAAGAUUUGAAGCUUGGGUGGGCAAUGCUGCCUCCAUGGGAGGGAGACACACUCUAUUAGACUCUGUUGUCACCCAGUUAUCACUAUAUUAUAUGUCUAUGUGGUUGAUGAACAAAACGUUCAUUGAAAAACUGGAUAAGCAUAGAAGAAGAUUCUUCUGGCAAGGAUGUAACAAGAAAAAAAGAUAUUAUCUUGUGAAAUGGAGUAGAAUCUGCAGAUCCAAAGAGAAGGGUGGCCUAGGGAUUAAAGACCUGCAUAAACAGAACAUCAGUCUGAUGGUGAAAUGGUGGUGGAAGCUCGGAACACAAAGUGGGGUAUGGCAAGAUAUUAUUCGUGCUCGCUACUUGCGGAAUAGGACAGUAGCGGAUGUUGCCCCAAGGUUUUCUGACUCUCCGAGUUGGAAAGCCCUGCUGAAAGUCAAGGAAAUUUAUAUGGCUGGUAGAAAACUUAAUGUUGAGUUUGGGAACAUUGCUAGGGUGUGGAGCGAUCCUAUUAACGGACUGCUUCCUUUCAAGGAUCAAUAUCUGCAGCUCUUUAGCAUUUGUAAUGUCCCUGAGUGUACCAUUAAACAAGUGCUAAAUGUGGAGACCGAUUCCUUUUUCAGACGCAGGCUCAAUCCUGUUCUUGCU
rnacentral:rRNA from 1 species